UCUGUGUUAUGAUUUUUGAAAUUUAUGGUUUUUUUGUUUCCUAAUUUUUCGGUUUUUUGUUUCCUUAUAUUUUCCAACUUUUUAAAAAAAAUUAAUAUUAUUUAUUUUUAUUGAUGAUUAAAUUAUUUAUUUAUAUUCUAAAAUUGUGUUUUAUUUUGUUUCCACUAAUUUUAUGAUUCUCUUUAAAAAAAAUUCUUUUUUUUGUUUCCACAUAUUAUUUUUUUAUUGUUUCGAAAAUAUUUUUUUUCUGAAUUUUUUGUAUUUUUCGAAAAUUAUAUAUUCUUUUUUUUGUUUCCACAUAUUAUUUUUUUAUUGUUUCGAAAAUAUUUUUUUUCUGAAUUUUUUGUAUUUUUCGAAAAUUAUAUAUAUUUUUUAUUUGUUUCCACUAAUUUGGAUAUUCUCCUAAAAAUAAUCCAAGAUUUGUUUCCACAAAUUUAGAAAUUCUCCUAAAAUAAUCUUCGAUUUGUUUCCACUAAUUUAGAUAUUAUCCUAAAAUAAUC
rnacentral:lncRNA from 1 species